GGAAGCAGGGGAUCGUAAGACCUCGCGCUAUUGGAGCGGCCGAUGUCCGAUUAGCUAGUUGGUGGGGUAAUGGCCUACCAAGGCGACGAUCGGUAGCUGGUCUGAGAGGAUGAUCAGCCACACUGGGACUGAGAUACGGCCCAGACUCCUACGGGAGGCAGCAGUGGGGAAUUUUGGACAAUGGGCGAAAGCCUGAUCCAGCCAUGCCGCGUGAGUGAAGAAGGCCUUCGGGUUGUAAAGCUCUUUCGGCCGGAACGAAAUCGUCCGGGCUAAUACCCCGGAUGGAUGACGGUACCGGAAGAAGAAGCACCGGCUAACUACGUGCCAGCAGCCGCGGUAAUACGUAGGGUGCAGGCGUUAAUCGGAAUUACUGGGCGUAAAGCGUGCGCAGGCGGCUUCCUAAGUCAGAUGUGAAAUCCCCGGGCUUAACCUGGGAACUGCGUUUGAAACUACAAAGC
rnacentral:rRNA from 1 species